AGUUGCUGGGAAGGCUCUUUCCCUCCAGGAGGGCUCAAGGAGACAAGUGUUUGGAUCCGCUGGGACCCUCCAAGUUUUCUCAGCCUCGUCAGGGAGCAAGCGGGGUCCUGGCCCUCGUCUGGAGGAGGACUACAGAAGCUGUGGCCAGCUGGGAGGCUGGAGUUGGGAGCAGUUUGUGUUCUUUCCUCUCGGCUGAGCCUCACGUUUGGAGCAGUUCUUGCGUCCCCGGGUUGGGAGCAGAUUGAGUCAUCGGGCUCCAAUGCGUGGGGAUGUUUACCGCCGUUUAUCCGGGAUAGAGACUCCAUCGUGCUAACUGACAGUAUCCUUUUAUUCACCGCCUCCGAAUUUGCAAAGAGGAGGAAGGAGGGACUUCUUGGCUUCUCCCAGCAUA
rnacentral:sRNA from 1 species